rnacentral:rRNA from 1 species
AUUGAACGCUGGCGGCAUGCUUUACACAUGCAAGUCGAACGGCAGCGCGGGCUUCGGCCUGGCGGCGAGUGGCGAACGGGUGAGUAAUACAUCGGAACGUGCCCAGUAGUGGGGGAUAGCUCGGCGAAAGCCGGAUUAAUACCGCAUACGACCUGAGGGUGAAAGCGGGGGAUUUUCGGACCUCGCGCUAUUGGGCCGCCCGAUGGCAGAUUAGCUAGUUGGUGGGGUAAAGGCCUACCAAGGCGACGAUCUGUAGCUGGUCUGAGAGGACGACCAGCCACACUGGGACUGAGACACGGCCCAGACUCCUACGGGAGGCAGCAGUGGGGAAUUUUGGACAAUGGGCGAAAGCCUGAUCCAGCAAUGCCGCGUGUGUGAUGACGGCCUUCGGGUUGUAAAGCACUUUUGGCGGGAACGAAAAGGACUGUGCCAAUACCACGGUUCGAUGACGGUACCCGCAGAAUAAGCACCGGCUAACUACGUG